CCUACGGGUGGCAGCAGUGAGGAAUAUUGGUCAAUGGCCGGAAGGCUGAACCAGCCAAGCCGCGUGAGGGAGGAAGGCGCAGAGCGUCGCAGCCCUCUUUUGCCGGGGGACAAAAGGCCGGACGGGUCCGGUUCUGAGGGUACCCGGAGAAAAAGCAUCGGCUCACUCCGUGCCAGCAGCCGCGGUAAUACGGAGGAUCCGAGCGUUAUCCGGAUUUAUUGGGUGUAAAGGGAGCGUAGAUGGGUAGUUAGGUCAGUGGUGAAAGUUUGCGGCUAAACCGUAAAAUUGCAAUUGAUACUGGCAGUCUUGAGUACAGUUGAGGUAGGCGGAAGUCGUGGUGUAGCGGUGAAAUGCUUAGAUAUCACGAAGAACCCCGAUUGCGAAGGCAGCUUACUAAACUUUGACUGACAUUGAUGCUCGAAAGUGUGGGUAUCAAACAGGAUUAGAUACCCUAGUAGUC
rnacentral:rRNA from 1 species